ACAUUUUACUUUCCUUUCGCUUUGCUACUGUUAUAGUCACUGACAUCUUUUGUAGCUUCGGGUCUCGUGGUGCAUUCACUGAAGUCAGUAAUUGCCCACUGGGAACUAUUUUUAAUAGUUCUCACACCCCUGUUUUAUGGUUUACUUUUCAGAGCCUUCGGCACCGGCGGAGGCACGGGAUCGCGGCAAGGGGAUCGCUUAGCUAGCUAGCAAGGAGCGGUACUUCGCCUAGGUGGUUUACUCUUUCCUUUGUAGUUGAGAGAGUGAGAGGUUUUUGUAUCCAUGUAUAGGGACCACCUAUGUAUCUACCUAUAGCACUUGUAUCUAGGAUUUUCUUGUAUCACUUUAUGUUUUAUUUAGUGGAUUUACAGCUUUAUCCUUAUCCCUUGUUGUAGCAUUUAGACAUUUAUUAUGCUCUGAUACUCCUAGAUGUCUAUUAUUAUUGCUUUUAUUAUUGUUGUUUUUAGACGCCUUAUAUGUUUUAGACGUAUGGCGGGUCUGGACACGCGCCGGGUAGGCUUCCGCUGAGCCCCGGGGCGUGACACCUGUAGAAGCUUGUAUUUUGCCGCAACGGUGUCGGCAACGAGAGCGAGGAAGUUGGUUAACGGCGGUUGCACAGCCUACUUAGUGACCGUUGUGGAAGUCGAGAGGACGACUCCUACGCUCGAGGAGCUGUUUGUGGUUCGAAAAUUUCCAGACGUAUUUCCUGCAGAGUUAUCGGAAAUGCCGCAAGACCGAAAAAUUGAGUUCGUGAUAGACUUGGUCCCAAGGACCGAUCCUAUAUCG
rnacentral:lncRNA from 1 species